AUUGAACGCUGGCGGCAGGCUUAACACAUGCAAGUCGAGCGAGAGGCGGACGGGUGCGUAAUGGCGGGGAAACUGCCUGAUGGAGGGGGAUUACUCCUGGAAACGGUAGCUAAUAACGCCAACCCUCAGCUGUGCCCAGAGGGGCUUAGCUAGGAGGUGGGGUAAUGGCUCACCUAGGCGACGAUCCCUAGCUGGUCUGAGAGGCUUACGAGCAACACUGGAACAGAUCUACGGGCCAGACUCCUACGUGAGGCAGCAGUGGGGAAUCUUACACAAGGGGCUCAAGCCUGAAGCAGCCAUUCCGCGUGUGUGAAGAAGGCCUGAGGGUUGUAAAGCACUUGCAGCGAGGAGGCGUUACUCGUAGAAGAAGCACAGGCUAACUCCGUGCCAGCAGCCGCGGUAAUAC
rnacentral:rRNA from 1 species